ensembl:lncRNA
CAAGGCUGUCGAGUCUGCCGAUGAGGAUGUGGUGAUUGACAGAGUCGAAAGCCUUGGCCAGGUCGAUGGAGACGGCUGCACAGUAAUGUCUCUUAUCGAUGGAGGUUAUGAUGUCAUUUAGGACCUUGAGCGUGGCUGAAGUGCACCCAUUACCAGCUCUGAAACCAGAUUGCAUAGCGGAGAAGGUACGGUGGGAUUCAAAUUGGUCAGUGAUCUGUUUGUUCACUUGGCUUUCGAAGACUUUAGAAAGGCAGGGCAGGAUGGAUAUAGGUCUGUAACAGUUUGGGUCUAGAGGCAGGGCAGGAUGGAUAUAGGUCUGUAGCAGUUUGGGUCUAGAGGCAGGGCAGGAUGGAUAUAGGUCUGUAACAGUUUGGGUCUAGAGGCAGGGCAGGAUGGAUAUAGGUCUGUAGCAGUUUGGGUCUAGAGGCAGGGCAGGAUGGAUAUAGGUCUGUAGCAGUUUGGGUCCAGAGGCAGGGCAGGAUGGAUAUAGGUCUGUAACAGUUUGGGUCUAGAGGCAGGGCAGGAUGGAUAUAGGUCUGUAACAGUUUGGGUCUAGAGGCAGGGCAGGGCAGGAUGGAUAUAGGUCUGUAACAGUUUGGGUCUAGAGGCAGGGCAGGAUAGAUAUAGGUCUGUAACAGUUUGGGUCUAGAGUGUCCCCCCCUUUGAAGAGGGGGAUGACCACGGCAGCUUUCCAAUCUUUUGGGGAUUUCAGACGAUACGAAGGAGAGGUUGAACAGGCUAGUAAUAAGCGUUGCAACAAUUUCGGCAGAUAAUUUUAGAAAGAAAGGGUCCAGAUUGUCUAGCCCGGCUGAUUUGUAGGGGUCCAGAUUUUGCAGCUCUUUCAGAACAUCAGCUGUCUGGAUAUGGGUGAAGGAUAAGCAGGGGGGGCUUGGGCAAGUUGCUAUGGGGUGCAGGGCAGUUGAUCGGGGUAGCCAGGUGGAAAGCAUGGCCAGCAGUGGAAAAAUGCUUCUUGAAAUUCUCAAUUAUUGUGGCUUUAUCAGUAGUGACAGUGUUUCCUAGCCUCAGUGCAGUGGGCAGCUGGGAGGAGGUGCUCUUAUUCUCCAUGGACUUUCCAGACCUUACAGACCAAGAACCUUAGCCAUUCGGAAUGAAUGCUUAAACUUACAUUUUAGUUUCAUUUUCGCAGAGUUUGACUGACUGCUAAGAUUUGGCACCACAUGGCAUAAUUAAAAUGUCAAGUCAUGGCAUAAUUGUGUUACCGUAGUUUAAGUAUUCGGUUGUGCUGAUACACAAUAUCAUUAAGGAGCCUUAACCAUUGGCAUUUUAUUGCUUUGAAAUGUAUAGGAAUGAAGGAUGUAGGUUGUUGUCAGUCUGGUGUAGAAGGAUUGGUGUACUCCGUUAUAUCACCAGCUGGGUGUUCUGUGUGCAAGGACUUUCGAAUGUUCGUUUUAUUUCUACAUGUUGUUUCAUAAAGAAAGGAAGCAUAUCUUCUCCACAUUAAAUCGAGUUAAGGAGUCAUUUAGUAAUUUUAGCCUUUAUUUAACUUGGUAAGUCAGUUAUUACUGCAUUGUCGGAACUAGAAGCACAAGCAUUUCGCUACACUCGCAUUAACAUCUGCUAACCAUGUGUAUGUGACAAAUAAAAUUUUAUUUGAUUUGAAGAACAAAAUCGUAUUUACAAUGACGGCCUACCAAAAGGCAAAAGGCCUCCUGCAG